AAAAAAGGCGAUUCCGCCUAAACGCCUCCUCGCCGCGGUUCCGGGCUGUCGGGCGAGUGGUUUUUUUUCCUAGAGGCAAAGCCUGAACCUGGCAGCUGCGCUUAACUCUCCUGUCAGAUUCCCUCGGCCUGGACAACCGAAGGUGUUUUACAGAGAUCUGCAUAAGUCCAACCACACAGCCUCAAGGAACACAAGUGGCCCUUCUCCAAGAACUGUGAAUAUCAUAAAAUCCCUUGUCAA